AAGAAAUAACAAUACAGGGCAAUUGUCUUGUAAUUGGAAUGAUGGUGACCUAAACCCUCACCAGAGUAACAAUUGGAGGGCAAGUCUGGUGCCAGCAGCCGCGGUAAUUCCAGCUCCAAUAGCGUAUAUUAAACUUGUUGCAGUUAAAAAGCUCGUAGUUGAAUUUCUGCGUUAUCGAGUUAUUGACUCUUGUCUUUAAUCGAUUUCGCUUUUGGGAUUUAUCCCUUUUUACUUUGAGAAAAUUAGAGUGUUUCAAGCAGACUUUUGUCUUGAAUACUUCAGCAUGGAAUAAUAGAGUAGGACUUUGGUUCUUUUUUGUUGGUU
rnacentral:rRNA from 1 species